UGUGGAUGUAGCUCAACGGUAGAGCACUUGCCUGGCAUGUGUGAGGCACUGAGUUCAAUCCUCAGCAGCAUAU
rnacentral:tRNA from 1 species